rnacentral:rRNA from 1 species
GAUGAACGCUGGCGGCGUGCCUAAUACAUGCAAGUCGAGCGAAUGGAUUAAGAGCUUGCUCUUAUGAAGUUAGCGGCGGACGGGUGAGUAACACGUGGGUAACCUGCCCAUAAGACUGGGAUAACUCCGGGAAACCGGGGCUAAUACCGGAUAACAUUUUGAACCGCAUGGUUCGAAAUUGAAAGGCGGCUUCGGCUGUUACGUAUGGAUGGACCCGCGUCGCAUUAGCUAGUUGGUGAGGUAACGGAUCACGAAGGCAACGAUGCGUAGCCCAGGUGAGAGGGUGAUCGGCCGCACUGGGACGGAGACACGGCCCAGACUCCUACGGGAGGCAGCAGUAGGGAAUCUUCCGCAAUGGACGAAAGUCUGACGGAGCAACGCCGCGUGAGUGAUGAAGGCUCUCGGGUCGUAAAACUCUGUUGUUAGGGAAGAACAAGUGCUAGUUGAAUAAGCUGGCACCUUGACGGUACCUAACCAGAAAGCCACGGCUAACUACGUGCCAGCCGCCGCAGUAA